CGAUAAUUUCUCCAAACCUUUAUAAUUUCAUAAUGUCCCCGGUAGCUGCCGUAUGGAUUCUUUGUUUUGGUUUUUUAUGGGCUUUAGUAAGUGGAGCUUCAGAAGCACAACUAGAUGGUGACACAGUAUCCAAAACAAUUGAGGUGUGCUUUCCGAACAAAUGGGCUCCGAUCAAAAUUUGCGUAAAAAUCAAAGUGUUCUUAGAUGAAAGCAGGGAUUUUAUGUCGUUGUGCCCGUCCAUUUCCAUGGUCGAGAUGGGUUUAAAUAAUCUUGAGCUCACCUGUCUGAUUGUGGGAGGUAGCGGAAUUCCCUUCAAAUUGGUCCCUGCCAACCUUGGGCAAUAGAUAUUAUUUAUUAUUAAAUUAAUUAAUCUUACAACGAAUAAAUCCCCUUAAUUUAAUUUCA